AGCUUCAUAAAAAUCCAAUUAUGUUAUCAAAUCAUUAAAUUGAUUAUUUUACUAAAAUAUGAACAAAAUACUAAAUUAUAUAUGAAAAGCAGACAUAGGUUUCACACUUACGGUCUUCCUUGGGAAAACAGUUUCCAAGAAGGUUGUAGAUAUACUUUUAAAAUAUUUUUCAAUGUUAUCCUUCUGGCCCAUAUUGUCUAAGAUUACAGAGAAAGACAACACAUGGAAAGAGUACUAAAUUUGGGGUCAGAGUAAUCUCACUGUAAUCUCAGGUUAGACACUAUGCAUAUGAUUUUCAAUGAUGUAAUUAACUUCUAUGUACCUGUAUUUCCUCAUUUGUAAAAUGGAGAUAAUUUCUAUUUUACACAGUUAUUAUAAGAAUCAAGGCCAACAAAAUAGUACAUGUGGAAUUACAUAUGACAAUUUCCAGUGAGGAGAGCAGAAUAUGCCACCCCCCCCAAAUAUUUCUCUUUGACAUAAAAAUUAUCUUGACCUGGUUAUUUUUAAGACACAGGAGAAGCUCUGAAAAUUGAGUAGAAGUUGUCCGUUUUGUAAGCAACAUGCACAUUUAUAAGGGAAAUGUCCAUUUAUAAGUGUGUCUCCCUUUCUAUACCAGGCAGAGAAGGAUCACUAAAUCUCUAGACACUCUUAUUCAAUGGAAAAGGCAACUAUACCCCUGUUGAUUUCGCUUUGCUUGAUACCCUUCCAUAACUGGCUUAUUCCUUCCUUUCCCAACAUCUUCCUUUGUCUUGAGCUGGUAUGUAAAGGUGUGGUUUGGACCAUUUUGGGGAGUUACUCAGUUUUCCAUGUUAUUAGACUUCUGUUUUUCUCCUGUUAAUCUGUCUUUUAGUACAGGGGGUCUCAACCAAGAACCUAGAAGUGUAGAGGGAAAAUUAUCUUUCCUCCCCACCAGUUUGGUGACCCAUGAUGGGACCUGCUGAGACACCAUACUCACUCCAGAGCCUGCAGAUGGGAUCCUGGAAGACUGGUAGAAGCUGGCAAAAAGUAAAAAUUCUUACCAAAGUCAGCUCUCCCAAAUCUCUCUCUCUAUGCCCAGUUUAAAGGAGAAGGUAAAAAUUUCUUGUCCCUUCCUUUCUAAAUUUAGAUUAGCAGGAAAAAAUAUUUGUGUGAACUAGUUUCUUGCAUAUAGCAACUGGUAAAGAUUUUUGUUAUUGCUCUUGUUUUCUCUUUCCUCCCAGAAAUGGUCAUUGUUUUGUCUCUGUCUUUUGUGUCCUUUGUUAUAAGGAGGAGAACCAUGGGCAAGAUGAAAUUUUCCUUUUGUCUUAUUUAACGUUUUGAGAGCUUGGCUUCGUGGCAAAUGAGGAUAUUCUCUCUGCCAGCUAAAACAGUCUGAGGGUCCAGGACAUGAACUGACAAGCCGCAUUCUCUUUGUCCACUAGAGCUGGCUCACAGGGGAUUUGUCUUAAGGGGUCCUGGUCCAUAAAGGGCCUUUGUCAUCUCAGCCUUUAUUGUCUCAUUAGUGCCGAAAAGUCCCAUUCCAAUUUUACAUGCCCAGUGUCACAGAUUAGCAGGACUAUAAGUAGAGGCAUUUCAUCUUCUGGGAGACCAAAGACCCGUUUUCCCUCCCGCCUUUCUUAGCACCUGAGACAGUGAAGGUCUCUUUGCUUUCUUAGGCCAACUCUGGGAGUGAACAUUUUGGAUUAUGGGGGCUUUAUCUUCUGCACUAUCUUUUGCAAUGCCUUUUGUGUCCAUAGUUAAGUCCAUUAAAGGCUUAUUGGUUUGAGUCACUACUGAGAUAAAUAUAUUGAGGAUUCUACUUGUCAAUGGCCAGAUGAGGGAUCUUUUGAACUGGAAAAACUUCUAUAUUUGAAAAAAGUUGUUUUGAAAAAAGUUGUAAACAACUGUCUUAUUGAUACCUAUGGAAAGAUAACAUUGAAAAGAAGACACAAAAGAGUAUGGCAUCUAGCCUUAGGGGUUUCCUUAACAAGACAAAAUUAUAUAAACCCCCCUUUUACUUCCAGUUUCAAAAGAUCCUACCAAAUUUAUAGAAGAGUUGAAAAGAUCAGUGGACAUUCACAUUUCUACUAACAGGGGACCUUGAUUGGGGCUGCUAAGGGGUGUUCUUUCAUUAUAUUACUGUAGUUAACAGAAAAGCCAGAUGGCCCCCUGGGGAAAACACCUCUUACAGAGGUAACAGAUGAACAGAAUUUCUCCCAGGCCCUCUUACACAUGAUCAGGAAAUGGCUCAGCUGGAGGUUGAUGUUAAGAAGCUGACAGAAGCAAUAGCAGAGCUUUUCAUCCUAAGGUGAACUGGUUGAGGUUGAAUUGAACAUGCAGAAAAAAAGGUCUAACUUUGGGAGCCCACCUGCAAGACUGCCUCCUGAAAUGAGACACAACUGUUUAACUGAACUGACCUAUUUCAAGACUAAUACUGGUUCAAUGAGAUAGAUAUGGAGAAGUCUUUCAACUCAACUUCUGUACUAUGAAAUUCCUUGAAGAAAUUUCAACAGCUGGGCUGGAGGUGAACAGAAUACGCCACCCUGAAAUAUGCCUCUUUGGCAUAUGGAUUUUCUUGAGCUGGUUACUUUUAAGAAACAGCAGACACAGGAGAAGCUCUGAAAACCAGUAGAAGUUAUGCUUUUGUAAGAGACAUUCACAUUAAUAAGUAGAAAAGAAAUUGUGGUUGCUAUUUGCCUUUGAAUGGCAAGACUCCAAUUCCAAAACAACAAGUCAGUACUGCUGGAUGGUGCUGCCACAAGGAUUUAAAAAUUCCCUCACCCUCUUCAACGAGACUUUGGCUAAAGAUUUAUGAGGAUUAUACGUGGAUCAAGGUUGAGUAGAGGCCUUCCCAGCCAGAGUGGAAAAAGCAUCAGAAGUGACAAAAGCCCUUCUUAAGGACAUUAUUCCUAGGUACGGCCUUCCCUCUACUAUUCAGAGUGACAAUGGAUCUGCUUUUGUCACAGAAAUAACACAAACAGUAAAUAAAGCUUUAGGUAUAAAAUGGAAACUUCAUUCAUCAUGGAGACCCCAAUCUACAGGAAAGGCCGAGAAGAUGAAUCACACCCUGAAGAAAACUCUCACCAAGCUAUGGAGGAAACUCAUCUAAAAUGGGACAAGGUCUUGCCAAUUGCUCUCCUCCAUAUACAGUUGGCCCCUAGAAGCAGGCUAGGAUUGAGCCCUUACAAAAUUAUAUAUGGGAGACAAUUCUUAGCUUCUAAGAGUAAAGAAAGAGAAACGUUUCUCAUGCAGGAGGUAAAAAUUAAACAGUAUGUACAACAGAUUGACCAACUGUUAACUGCUACUCAUGAGUUUGUGUCCCAGAGGUCUCCCCCUCACCUGGAAGUUCCCUUGCAUCCCUUCAAAGCAGAAUACUGGGUGCUGCUGGAAAUGUGGAAAGAGCAAGGACCUGAGCAGCAGCUUGAAGAGAAAUGGAAGGGACCCUAUGACAUUCUUCUUACUACUCAUGCCUCUCAAAUUGUAUGGAGUAAAACCAUGGGUACAUCACACUAGAGUAAAAAGAUUAUCAGAGACUGACCAGCCAGGCCUGCCUAUAGCCAGUGAGCAGAUUCCCAAGAAGUGGACCUCUCACCUUUUGGGAAACCUUAAGUAUUUGUUCUGGCAAGCGAAAUGAAAGUUCUGUUUUCUUAUCCUUUCUCAUACCUUUUACCUUUCCCCACAAAACUAUAGAUUCAUAUGCUGAUUCUUUCAGUAAUUCUAACUGCUGGAUAUGUGGUCAGCUUCCUAUUUCGGGGUCUUCAGGAUUGCCUUGGUGGGUUUGCCCCCUUACAGGGAAUGGUGUGGAAAUAACUGGCAACAAGUCUCCCCAAACCAGUUCCAGACUGGGUUUCAGACUUAUUUUCCUGAAUUCCUAAGAGAAUGAGACGUAUUUUUGUCUAAAGUUCCAGUUGUCACUCCUCCUACCUCUAACUGGGUCUGUUGUGCCAAAAUGGCAGACAAAGAAAUUGAGAUCUUAAUCAUACAAAACUCAGAUCUAGGACUUGGACCUCAAAUAUUUCUAAUUCAGUAUCCAUUCCCCCAAAUUUAGGCAGACUACACCCCAUUUCAGCAGGAAGUAGCCAGAGCAAUCAUUGCCGUCCCUGAAAGAUUUGGGGAAAGAUAAAAUCUAAGUGGGGAUUAAAACCAAGUCUCCCUAAAACCGAGUUCCUCUGCCAAGUUUAUGAUUAACAUCUCUAUCCAAAAUGAUUAUUCAUUUUCUUGUCCAACAUCUGUUCUCCUCAAGAUUGAGGAGUAUCAAAGAAAAAGGGAGAGUGAAACUGAGCAGGACCCUGUUGUCUCCUGGGCACAGAAGCCUUUCUGUGUCUCCUGUUUCUUGU